UUGCUUGUUUUCAAAGAUUAAGCCAUGCAUGUCUAAGUUCAAGCCUUCCUAAUGCCAAACCGCAAACGGCUCAUUAAAUCAGUCUCAAUUCCCGAGGUACCGAGGAAACUUGUCUUUACUCGGAUAACUGUGGCAAAUCUAGAGCUAAUACGUGCGACUGAGCCCUGACAAGCCUCUCGUCGCUUCGGCGACGGGGGCGUGGAAGGGCGCAAUUAUUAGAACCGCAAACCGAGCUUGCCGGUGAGUGGUGACUCUGGAUAAUAUUGCCGAGCGCUGAGGCCUUCGAGCCGACGCUUUAUCUCUCGAGAGACUGCCCUAUCAGCUGUCGAUUGUAAGUUAAACGCUUACUCUGGCAGUAACGGGUAACGGGGAAUCAGGGUUCGAUUCCGGAGAGGGAGCCUGAGAAACGGCUACCACAUCUAAGGAAGGCAGCAGGCACGCAAAUUACCCACUCCCGGCUCGGGGAGGUAGUGACGAGGAAUAACGAUGCGGGUUUCUCUUCCGAGGCCCCGCAAUCGGAAUGAAUUCACCCUAAAUCCUUGUUUGAGGAUCCACGGGAGGGCAAGUCUGGUGCCAGCAGCCGCGGUAAUUCCAGCUCCUGCAGCGUAUAUUAAUGUUGCUGCGGUUAAAAAGCUCGUAGUUGGACUUUACGCCCUCAUUCGCGGGAGUCUCGGGCGAGGGGCGGCGAAGGAGGUUGAAGGCGCGAAGGCGGCUAGGGCGUUUUAAAAAUCUUCUCGCCUCGGCGAGGAGGAGCUACCCUUAAUUCCGGAGCGUUCUUUCUCCUCUCUCCCGCCGUCUCCCUCGCUGCGGGGUUUUUAAGCUCACGCGUGAGGGUCAGUAAAGGCUCCGUCGACUCUCGCGGGAUACUCUUUACCGAGCGUCCCGCGCGGUUGACGACGAUCACUUUGAAAAAAUUAGAGUGCUCAAAGCAGGCAAAAAUACACGCCUGAAUAUAUUGUGCAUAGUACGAUGAAACAGGACCUCGGUUCUGCUAACUGAAAGUUUUUUACUUUCGUUUUUCCUCGGUUUUUAAAGCCCAGGAAUACGAGGUAAUGAUUAAAGGGGACGAACGGGGGCAUUAGUACUGCGGCGCUAGAGGUGAAAUUCUUGGACCGUCGCAAGACUAACUAAAGCGAAAGCAUUUGCCAAGUACGUCUCCAUUAAUCAAGAACGAAAGUUAGAGGAUCGAAGGCGAUCAGAUACCGCCCUAGUUCUAACCGUAAACUAUGCUGACUAGCGAUACGCUUAGGUCAAUCCCACGACUGAGCGUGCAGCCCCCGGGAAACCAAAGUCUUUGAGUUCCGGGGGUAGUAUGGUCGCAAAGCUGAAACUUAAAGGAAUUGACGGAAGGGCACCACCAGGAGUGGAGCCUGCGGCUUAAUUUGACUCAACACGGGGAAACUCACCAGGUCCGGACACUGCGAGGAUUGACAGAUUAAGAGCUCUUUCACGAUUUGGUGGUUGGUGGUGCAUGGCCGUUCUUAGUUGGUGGAGCGAUCUGUCUGGUUAAUUCCGAUAACGAACGAGACUCCAUCCUAUUAAGUAGCCGGUGGAUCGUAACCCAAUCGCCCCGAGGUUAUCGCCGCGGUCUCGCGUCGGCGGAGCGCGGUAAGAAUGGGGGGUUUGGAGAGGCUCUCGGCGGCUGGGGCGCGCGUUUCGUCUCGGGUUUUUACGGGGGGUUUCCUACACGGGAGCUUACCCGGGGAGCUCGGGGCGGGGGUGAGUUUUCGGCCGUCGAUCCUCUCUUUUUUUCCCCUUCUUCCCCCUUCUCCUCGCGUAGAUUGUUUGGCGAGCCCGGGGCUUGGGGCGUCCACCGCGAGUCUUCUUAGAGGGAUCGCCGGUGUCUAGCCGGAAGAGAGAGAGCAAUAACAGGUCUGUGAUGCCCUUAGAUGUCCUGGGCUGCACGCGCGCGACAAUGUAGUGCGCAGCGAGCUCAUCCUUCUCCGAGAGGAGCGGGGAACCUGGUGAAACCCCUACCCGGUUGGGAUUGGGGAUUGUAAGUAUUCCCCAUGAACGAGGAAUUCCUCGUAAGCGCAAGUCAGCAGCUUGCGAUGAUUACGUCCCUGCCCUUUGUACACACCGCCCGUCGCUACUACCGAUGAAUGAUUCAGUGAGGGCGUCGGACUGGCGCCUCGGGAAGCAGAUGCUCUCGCCCGGCCCGCGUCGUCUUUUCCCGCUCUUCGGAGGGGGGGAGCGCGCGAUCGUCGGGGCUAGCGUUUGUUUGCUCCCACUGGCUCGCCGGGAAGACGUCCGAACUACGUCAUUUAGAGGAAGUAAAAGUCGUAACAAGGUAGCGGUAGGUGAACCUGCGG
rnacentral:rRNA from 1 species